CGAACGGCGGGGAAGGGCGUUGGACUACCGAGCGGUACAGAGGUUUAGAGGCGAAGCUUUCCAUACGGGAAUGAGAGAGGAGAGGCAAAGGAUCGAUGUGACGCAAAUGGGGUCGUCUGUUAUAGGCCGAGGAGGGAUAUCGGGCGUGGAUGUCACCGGCCGGCAUUCAGGGCGCGACAAUUUGAAAUGGCGAUUAAGAUAGGAAACGACAAAUUGAUUGCGUGAAUUGACUCAGGGGACUGUAGGGAUUGACGAGAAGAUUUUCUUUCGAAGAGAAACGCGUGGGAAGGAAGGAAUCGAAGGAGGGAAUCAUGGUGGCAGAUACGUGCGUGCUUCUGGUUCAUUUCGUGCGGAGGAAGAAGACGACCACUAGGCUCGGGCGAGGCUGGGCUGGGGCGCGGGGCAAGUUGGGCCAGGGGAAGAGGCUAGGGCCCAGGAGAAAAAGAAAAAGGGAGGUGGGCUGCUGUUGGGAGAUGGGCCAGAAGGAGAAGGAGGCCCAGGGACAAAAAGAAACGAAAAAGAAAUAAAAAGAGGUGGGCUGGGCUGGCCAGAGAGAUGGGCUUCGGCCCAAGAACAGGUUUAGGAUUUUCUAACCUUUUCCUAAUUACAAAAAUAAUAGGAAUUCAAAUAAGGCUUUUGAAAAAAUACCAUAUGAACCCCGGAC
rnacentral:lncRNA from 1 species